rfam:Cricetulus griseus cell line CHO-K1, whole genome shotgun sequence.
GUUGGGCUGGGCUCAGAGGUUAAGAGCAUCUGGCUGCUCUUCCAGAAGUCCUGAGUUCAAUUCCCAGCACCCACA